UCCUUUUUGCCUCCGGAAGCUAAACAAUGAUGGCUACAAUGAUGCUGAACCACCGCUGCCUGUGACUUAAAUUGUAGUCCUUUGCGCUCAUAUGUCAACAGCACCUCAGUAAAACAACCCCAAGUCAAAAUAGUGCACGUGAACCAAAACGGCCCCGUCCUUCUCUGUCCACCCUGGCGUUCCCGUCUUGAUGGCAUUUCCCGAUAACCGGUAUCUACCAAAGCAUGAAUGUCAGUUCGUGCAUCAGGUCAAGGAUGAGCUGCAAACUUACCAACAGAAGAGCAGCCGCAACAGUGUGCUGCUGUUCCCCCCUCUACCCAGCAGACUGCGAUACCUGAUCCACACGACCAUAGAGGACUGGCCAGAAUUCACCACCUUCUCAGUCGGGGAGAGCUGGUGCCGUAGGGUGGUCGUCUGCCAUUCUGAGCUCAGGGGUGACGUAGAGGAAGACAGUGAAUUGGAGAGCAACAACAGCUUGUGUGAAGAGCUCCUAAGAAGUAGAAGUAGGGAAGAGAUGGAGGGCAAUGCCAAGCCUAAAUCUUUGAUCCCAUCGCGAAACCGAGGACCCAAGAGGCCUGACAAACCCCUUUACCUGCCACGAGCUGCCCGGGAGAGACUGUCCUUACAAAACUCAAAAGGACCCUCGGCAGACCAAGUGUCAUCCGGUCCAGCCUCAAGUAACUGUAGCUGCAUCAGCAGUUCAUCUGACUCGUGUUCCUGUCCUGAAACUACGGAGAACUCUAAGUCCUUAUCCACAUCCAGACAGGAAACUCUCCCCAGUGUAGCGGACGGUAUCCUCAGCCAUGUUGCUGACAGUUCAGCACUUUGUCCUCAGGUGCUGAUGCUUCAGGAAGCUGAGCCUGUAGUCUGGGACGAGACUGUGUCCUGCUUUGCUAACAUAACUCUGGAGGAUGAGGAGAAGGACAAGGAAGACCUUGCUAGUGUGCCAUGCAGUGAUGUAACUGAAGAGAUCAAGGCACAUCUGAAAGAGACAAUGGCUGUUUCUAUUGAGCAUGUUCACAAUGACUACUCCAUAUAUAUGAACAUGUGUAUCACUAUCGACCCGGAUGACUUUCGCCACGUGAUCGAGAUCUAUGACUUCCCAGCUAUAUUCAGAACAGAGGACCUCCUGGAUGCUUUCACAGAGUACAGUGAUGGCGGAAUGAAAAUCAAGUGGAUAGACAACACACAUGCCCUGGGGGUUUUCUCCAGUGAGCCGGCAGCACUCCAUGCCCUCUCCAUCUGCCAUCCGAUGCUGAAGACAAGAGCCCUAGCUGAAGGGAGUAAAAAGGCCAAAGCCAAAGCCAUGAGAUGGGCAGAGUUCCUCCAGCCAGUGAAGGAGCGUCCCAGGACAGACUGUGCUGUAGCCCAGCGGAUGGUGACCAGAGCCUUGGGGCUGCAGGGACGAGGGAGAGUGCAGCGAUUUUGAAGGGAAUUGCUAACUCUGUUGGCUAAUGCAGAUGAAUCUUCUGUAUUCAGCACUGGAGGGGUCGUGGCAGAUGAUGUUAGGGUGACCAGACGUCCCGAAAAAUUCAGGACCGUCCCGAAUUACGAGAAGUUGUCCCGACUCCUGUCCGAAAGAUCCAGCAGAGCUCUGCCUCCGUUCACUGGCCCUCUGUAGAAGCUCCACAGUGGCCACAAACAGCUAGCUGAUUAUUAAGAGCACGACUACCUUCCAAGACUGUUUGCCUGCUUCUCUGAUUGGUGCAGCAGGUUUGCAUGGUGAAGGAGGAGACUCUUCAGAGUUGACUGCCACACAUCAGCAACAUCCACCCCUGCUGAAGUGUCCUUGAGCAAGACAGUGAAUCACCACCAGCCUCAAAGUGUCUGUUCUGUUGCUGAACCUCACCCUGUUGGACAUUAUUGUUGAAAGUCCGAUGCAAGCGGUGAUUUAAAAUAGAAAAGGCACUGGGGGGAAAAAAGCUCUUUGCUUGUUCUGAUUUGAUUGCAUGUUGCCUUGAAAGUGCGUUUCAAGGGUGUUAAAAUUCCAGGCAAGGCGUUUCUUUCCUCCUUGCUCAGGUGUUGCAGGGUUGAUUGCAUCACUCUGUGUAAGUAGUCAUUCUUUUUAACGUUGAAAUCCGUCAGAUUAUUUCUCAGGAUUUGGUCAAAAUUAUUACCUUGCGCGCUGUAGUCACAGGUAGAUUUAUAAUAUGGAAUGCACAAUUCCAGCUGACAAAUAUAAUGUAGAUCCAUUAACAGAAUCUGAUCUGUUAAAAUGAUAACACUAAGUAUGGUUUUCAGGUGCCAGCGUUCCAGUUGAGAGACACGGUUGUAAAGGAAAAAAACUUACUUGACUCAAUAAGAUUUUGUAAUUUUUUAGUUCAUUUAAAAAGUAUUAUAAGCGAGUUAUAAUAUGUUCAGUUUUUGAUAUUUAUUUGUUUCCUCUAAAUAACAAACUACCGUAGGAUUGUUAACGCAGAGGCAGUGUUCAAUUUCUUUCUCAUUCCACAUGAAAGAAAACUGAGUUUGUGUUUCAGAGACUUGUUAUAUGCUGGGCUCUCUGUUACUGAAAAGUCAGUUUUGUAUCAUUUUGUCAUUGAUUUAACAUGAAUCUUACCUGGUGUAUGAGUUUUGUAUUCAGUAAAAGAUGCUGAGAGUAUUUUAUUGUCAAAUUGAAAUGGGACGUUAACCUGAAAUGAUCUUUUGUGCCUGAGGGAAAAGAAGACUUGAUAGUAGCAUUAAAUGCUGCACAAUCCCAUGGAAAUAUGAAAACUGUACAUGGUAAUUAAGUUGAUUCAUUUUGUUAAAGACGUUUCAAUGUUUUAUGUAAAUGUUAUAUAAACAUACAGUGCUGCCAAGAUGUGGACAGUAGACAGUAACAGUGUUAAAUGUUAAUUAUCUUAACAAUGUUAAAUUUCUGACUCUAACCUUAAAUAUCUGGUGAAAAGUAUAAAACACAUUUAUUAUUUGAUUGCAAAUUCUGUGGAAUCAAAUAAGUUCAAACCCCCAUGA